rnacentral:rRNA from 1 species
AGUCGAGCGGAACGGUGGUAGCUUGCUACCAGGCGUCGAGCGGCGGACGGGUGAGUAAUACUUAGGAAUCUACCUAGUAGUGGGGGAUAGCACGGGGAAACUCGUAUUAAUACCGCAUACGACCUACGGGAGAAAGGGGGCAGUUUACUGCUCUCGCUAUUAGAUGAGCCUAAGUCGGAUUAGCUAGAUGGUGGGGUAAAGGCCUACCAUGGCGACGAUCUGUAGCUGGUCUGAGAGGAUGAUCAGCCACACCGGGACUGAGACACGGCCCGGACUCCUACGGGAGGCAGCAGUGGGGAAUAUUGGACAAUGGGGGAAACCCUGAUCCAGCCAUGCCGCGUGUGUGAAGAAGGCCUUUUGGUUGUAAAGCACUUUAAGCAGUGAAGAAGACUCUUCGGUUAAUACCCGGAGACGAUGACAUUAGCUGCAGAAUAAGCACCGGCUAACUCUGUGCCAGCAGCCGCGGUAA